UACGGAGGAUGCAAGCGUUAUCCGGAUUCAUUGGGUUUAAAGGGUGCGUAGGCGGGCUAUUAAGUCAGUGGUGAAAUCCUGCAGCUUAACUGCAGAACUGCCGUUGAUACUGAUAGUCUUGAGUUUGGUUAAGGUAGGCGGAAUGUGUCAUGUAGCGGUGAAAUGCAUAGAGAUGACACAGAACACCGAUAGCGAAGGCAGCUCACAAAGCUAUUACUGACGCUGAUGCACGAAAGCGUGGGGA
rnacentral:rRNA from 1 species